GAGCCAGGACGUUGUAGGAGAAAUAGCAUAGGUGUUCGUGGGGCUUUUGGAGGAGAGAGAGCUUGCGGGCGCGAGAGACCUUGUCGAGAAUGGAACGCCAUGAGCCUCGAGUGGCGAGCUCUUGGAGAGACGAGAGCUCGUAGCAGAGGUCGUUGAGGGAGCCGAACGGGCUCGACAGUGGGUCGCUGGCGAUAAAGCCAUCAGCGGCCGGAGUUGAAUCCUCCGACGGGGCAUCAGUGGCCAUGUUUCGUGAAUUGAAGAAUGGCUCGACUCAGCUUCACUGCUGUGGGAAUAGCUUGCGACGAUCAGAUCCGGCUGCUUUUAAUUAUUAUUAUUCUUUUUUACUUAUGAAUUUAUUUUUCAAAAUAUGUUUUAUACAUUAAUCACUCCUAAAUUUGUUUAAUAUGAUAUAAAAUUUUAAAAUUUACCUAAUAAUAUCUUAGGCUUAUAAAUGGCUGGUUUCAAGCCCAAUUCAACCCAAAUUGAGUAAUAACUAAAGUGAUAGUUAAUAUUUUAUUUUUUUAUUUUUAGUUUUACCGUUUUUUAAGUCUUUAAUUAUAUAUUUAAUUUUUAUUUAUUGAUCUCAAACCAAUUCUCAUAGUAAAAUAAAUUAUCUAUUGAUAAAACUGUCAUUUCAAAAAAUAAUUAUUUAAAUUAUGAUAUAUAUAUAUAUAUAUUUAAAUAGAGAAAGAUAAAUCUAGUUUAUAAAAUUUAACGUUCUUUUUGCUAUAAAUAUAUAUAUUUUUUUUAAAGUUAAACCCAUUUUUCCCUUUGAAUUAAAUACACCUAAUCAUCGUUUAUUUGAAAUUCCAUAAAAUAUUUUUUUUUUCAUUUUUCAUUUGUUAUUUUUAUUAAUCUAUUCUUUAAUUUAAAAUAGGAAAAAUAUUUAAUAAAAUAAAAAAUCAAACCAAUUAUUAAAACGAAAAAGUUAUGAUUUACUAUUCAAUGGUUGAACGAUAAUAGAACCCAUAACAUCAUAAAUAUAUAAUUUAUAUAUUAUUAAAUUAAAAAUAAUUUUAAAAUUUUAAAAUAUACAUAUAAAUAAAUUAAAAAUCAAUAAUAUUUAUUUUUUAUCUUUUAUAUUAUCAAAUUAAAUAAUGCAUAAGUAUAAAUGUAUUAAUAUACUAAAUUUCAUUAAAUGAGAUAUGUAUAAUAUUUUAAGUGGAUAUAUUAAAAAUCAAAGAAAAUCCAAUUAUUUAAUUUUAGCUAAUUUUAUAAUUUUUAAAAAUAUUAUAUUAUUGUUAUUCAAUAUUUUAAAUUUUUAUUUUAGAAAAGAAAUAUAUUGUUUUUUGUUUGCCUUAAAAGCAUCAAAACAUGUGUAGCCGGGUGAUGCCCCAUACCACUUUCUGAGCGCUUUUCAAAAUUAUUCAAUAAAAACUGAAGAAAAAACUAUAUCUCUUAAUCAAAAUUUAGAAAGUCUUCAAUUAUUGAGUCAAAACACUAUUAAUCAUCAGAGGAAGAAAUUUAACUAUAUUCAUAUAGGAUUAGUUCAAGUUGCCAUAAAACCUUUGUUUCAUUUAGGUUUAGAUAUUCUUAUUUUUGUUUGUUUAAGAGACGCUAGGUCAACAAGAUUUACUGAUUCCGUCCUUAGUACGAUUGAUUCAAACCUUGCCAAUGGUCUCGUUUAUUUUAAUUGUUUUCCAAACUUUUCCAUGAAUAUAAAUUACCCAAGUAUUCUUUCAAGUUUAACCUUAAACAUUAAAACCAAAAAUAUGAAUUUUGUAGAAGAAGCUUAAACUAUAGCAAUAAUCUAUAGGAUAUAUUAUAAAGUCAUGACAACCCAAUUAAAUCCUAGAGCUAUAUGUUAAUCCGUCAAAGAUGAAACAUUAUUAUUACAAUAUAAUCCUAAUAAUACUCAAGCUUUUGUUCCUAAAAAAUUAAAAUGGAAUGAAAUUACUCAAGAAGGUCAAUGGGAAUUAAAAGAUUUAACUUUUCCAAAACCAAUUAAACCUUUAACAACUCCUUCAAAAAUUAUACAACAUACAAAUGGUACUAUUCAAAUAUAAUUUAGUCCAGCUUCUAGAUAUUCAUUUAAUCAAGAUUUUAUAUCUGCAAGACCUUCUACUUCAAAUCCUAGCCUAAAUGGUGUUGAUUUUACUCCAAAAAUUCCUAUUCCUGUAUAUCAGCAACAAGAAUCUCCUCCUGCUUCACCUACUCAUUGAGAUAUGUAUCCUAAUCAAGUUAAUAUUAUUCACAAGAAAAAUUAUAAAAAGACUCCUUUUACUCCUAAUAUCGAAUGGAUAAAAUCAGAUUAUUUUGCCCCUUAUAAUAAUACCAAAAGAGUUUAUUUUCAAACAUUUCCACUACAAACUAGAAAUGCAUUAAGAAAACAAUAUGAAAAAUAUAUGAAUCAAAAGAAAUUACUAUUCCUUUUUUCUAUUGGUUUUUCAAAAUUAAAAAACAAAGAAAACAAAUUAUAACUUUAAGAGAUAAAGAAAGACAUCAAUUGGCAAUAAAACAUUCAGAAAAUGUUCAAAAAAGAAUUUUAACAAUAACCUCAGAAUUAGGUUCACAACCACCCUUAAAUAAUCAUCAAUUUAAUUUUGACAAUAAUUCAAUUUCUGCAUCACCCUUCAAAAUUCCAAUAACCAAAUAUGAACAAAGUCCCAUAAUUUAUAAGGAUAUUAGACAAGUUCAACAACAAUUAAAUUAUACAAAUCAUUCUCUUCAACAUUUAAGUCAACAAAUAACAAAAAUUUCCAAAUUUUUGUUUUCUUCUACCCCGGGAGGGAAGAUAGGAGAAACGAAAACAUUAAUAUCAAAAUCUUCAAAAAUUUCAUCAACUUUAUCAUCAUCAUCAUCAUCUUCCAAAUCUUUAGAACAACCUUUUAUUAUUCCUAUAAAUGUUGCAAAAUCAAAUAUUCAAUUAGUCAUACCAAGAGAAACAAUGUUAAAAGAAAUACAAAUUAGAUUAGAUAAACUCAAUAUUAACGGUAUUAAGAAUCAAAUUCAAACUAUAACAAAAGGAAAAUCAGAAAUAAAUAAAAUAGAAGAACAAUUCAAAAUGUCUCCUGAUUCAAUAGAAAAACCCCCUGCAACAGUCAAUGCAAUUUCUAAUAAUUUUAUAAGUAGAAAAAAUUAUUAUUCAAAACCCUAUUUUCCUGAUGUUCAAUUAGAAGAAAGAAAUUAUCAAUUAGCUGCUAGUUAUGAUGGUAGUAGUUUUUAUGAAUGGAAUAUAGAUGGAAUGAGUGAACAUCAAAUAAUUAAUUUACUUCAUGAAAUGAUGAUGGCUGCUAACGCAUAUAGAAUCAAGACUAGUAACUCUGACUUUCAUGCUGCAGGCACCUUAGUAAUAGGAUUCAUUGGAUUACUUAAAGGUUGGCAGGAUCAUUAUUUGAGUCAAAAUGACAGAGAAUACAUAUUAAAUGCAAAAAAGACAAUAGUCAAAGAAGAAGGAACAUCGGUCCAAACUUAUGAAGAAGAUGAUGUCAAUACAUUAAUAUUUGCAAUAACAAAACAUUUUAUAGGAGAUCCAGUUUAUUUUCAAGAAAGAACUUCUGAAAUCCUUAAUAAUCUUAGAUGUCCAACACUUCAAGAUUUCAAGUGGUAUAAAGAUAUGUUUUUGGUUAAAGUUAUGACAAGACAUGAUUGUGGAAGUCAUUAUUGGAAAGAAAAAUUUAUAUCAGGUUUACCCACUCUAUUUGUAGAAAAGGUUAGACAAAGAAUAAGAAAUAUUCAUAAUGGUAGAAUUCCUUAUGAGUCAUUAACAUAUGGAGAACUAAUUACUUUUGUCAAUAAUGAAGGAUUAGCUCUUUGUACAGAUCUCAAAUUAAAGAGUCAAAUGAAAAAAGAAAAACAAGACAAUAAAAAAGAAUUAGGAAAAUUUUGUUCAUAUUAUGGUUAUGAUACAAUAGUUGUCCCUUCAAAAAGAAAAAAUAAGCAAAAUAAAAUAAAAAGUAAAAAACCAUAUAUAGAGCCAAAAUUUCAAAAGAAGUUUGUAAAAUCUACUCCUAAUAAACCAAAAUCAUCAAAUAAAAUAGCUUUAAAGAAAAAAAACCCCAACAUGUUAUAAAUGUGGAAAAGUAGGACAUUACUCAAGAGAUUGUCAAUUAGAAAACAAGAUCAAUUCAUUAGAAAUAAGUGAAAACCCCAACAUGUUAUAAAUGUGGAAAAGUAGGACAUUACUCAAGAGAUUGUCAAUUAGAAAACAAGAUCAAUUCAUUAGAAAUAAGUUAUAAACUUAAAAAUUUAAUGAUAGGAUUAAUGAUUGAUAAAGAAAAUGAAGAAUCAAGUGAAAAUUGUGACUCAGAAGAACAUAAUCAAAUACUAAUAACACAAGAAAUAUCAAGUGAAGAGUCAAGUCUAGAAGAAGAAUUAUAUAAUAAAAAAGAUUGUGAUGGUAUUUGUGCAUGCUCAUAUAAAUCAAUAAAUGUGACUUCAAAAUAUUCAAAAUCUCCUUUUAAUCUCAUUAUUCAAAAUUAUGUGUCUCUCAUAAACUUAAUAUAUUUUCAAUUUUGGUAUGAUAAAGACAAAACCAUUAGAUACUUGUUUUAUUCUUCAAAAAAGAAACUAAAAUUUGAAAUUUUUCUACAGAUGGAGCAAGAAAGGAUUACAUUUGGGAAAUUUACUCUUCCAAUAAUUCCUAAAAGUAAUCUGUCAUUCAGGAUUCAUAAAGAUAUAGAAGGAGUAGACAGAUCACAAAAGUGCAUUUUAGACAACCUCUGGAAUGCAAAAAGUGAUAUUCAAAAGUUGGAAGCUUUAAAUGCUUUAUUUUUUCAUUUUAAACAGUUAAAUGAUAAAUUAGAAAGUUUUUCUAACAUUUCAAGUUCUGAUAUACAUUGCAUCCCAAUGGAUACAGAUCUUGAAAAUUUCAUUUGCAGGAAAAAAGCAAAAGAAUCCAAAGAUACAUUUUCAAAAUCUUUUCAAAAUGAAUUUCAAAAAGAAAAAUCAAAUCAAAAUGAAGAUUCAAAACUUUAUGAGGAUAGCCAAGAAUUUCAACUUUCUAGAUUUUCAUUUUUCAAGCAAAAGAAUUUGAAUCUUCCUCAUAACAUUAGACAGAUGAUCAGUGAAAAGGCUCAAGCUAUAGGGGAAGCAAAGCAAUAGCAUAUCAUGCAAUUUCUUGCUGACUGUAGCACUUUUGGAAUUCCUAUUCAAGGGAUGAGGUUUACCUGGAUUUCUCAUUAUGACAACACUUAUAAUAAUUGUCCAAAGACCGAUCCCUUGUGUACGGAAAUUCCAUUAGAAAAGCAUGAUUGUACGUGUGCUCUUAUUUACAGUAUUUACAAAGUCAAUAUUGACCUAGACAGUUACAAACCAAUAAUCAUUAAGUUCAACAAUGAGUCAAUAGAACUAACUCCUUCUCUUCUCGUGGAUUAUGGAGUUCUUUAUCAACUAAUUUUCUCCAAUCCUGAUCAAACCGAUGGAUUUGGAAGAAAAUUAGCAAUCUGUGUAUUAAAUGCCUUCAUCAGAGAUUUCAAAUCAGUUGAACUCAUUAUAGAAAGCAAACCUCCUGAAUGGUCGAAUGAUGGAGGUGUUUACCUUGCUCAAUUUCUCAUCCUUCUCAAAGCCAAUCAAAGAAAACAUCAAUUGUUUGGUACAGAGAGCCCUUGGCCUUGUACUAAAUUCAGCCUUAAAAAACAAAUCAGACAUUGGAGAUCAAGAAUGAUUGCAAGAAAUCUUGAUUAUGAGAUUUAUAGUUCUUCUAACUAUAAUCUCAUUGCUGAAGACAACAUUCAAAAAAUCAUUUCUGCAACCAAUCUUCCUGAAGUCCCUCUUCUUUUUCAGACUCAAUUUACUUAUCUUGUUGAUAAGUACAAAAAGGAAUAUGUCCUUGAGGAAGAAGCCCGAAGAACUUUUGAAAAAUAUCUCUUAGAAAUGCUAAGCUAAGAGAUAUCAAGAAUCUUUUGUACAUUUAUACCUUUGUAAAUUGUUCCCUUAUGUUUAUAAAAAAAAAAAGUUUGUAAAGCCUGAAAGUGUGAAAAGUAUGUAAUGUAAAAAAAAAAUUCAAUAAGUCAAAAGUCAUGAACAGUAGUGAACAGUAUACUUUGUCUACUAAUUCACUUGGCAAGCAACGUGGAGAAAACAAAGAGAAAUUUUCUUCUCAAGCUUCUGACAAAGAAAAAGAAAAUUAUUCUUCCUCUGUAGACUUCAAGGCCACAACUGUCUCCACACGUGAUGAAGUUAAAAAUUUUCAAGAUUGAAAGAAAGUCUCAAGUCCGCUCCCUCGCCUAUAAAUUGAGCUCAAACCUUCUUCAUUAGGCAGAGCUUGCGAGAGUGAGAGUGAGAAAUUAAGAGUUCAAAAAUUUUCUCUUGUAAUUUUCUUCCUUUUGUAUUCAUCAAUCUGAGUCAUCCUUCUACUGUCAACCAACUUGUAUUCAUCAACUCUCUGUAAUCAAGGUAUAUUUCCAAUAAACAAUAUUUUCAGAUUCAAAUAUCUGUAUUUUUAUGUUUAAAUUUCUGCAAUAAAUUAGACAUAAUUAGACAUUAAAUAUUUCCGUUUUUAUGCUUGGAGAUCAUUAGACAAAAUUAAUUAUUGCGUGCAUGAAUUGUUAUAUGUCCUGGGUGCAAAUGGUAUCAAAGCCACGUUCUGCUUGAGAACCGAGUGGUGUUACGAGUUGGAACAGUAAUUAAUCAUAGAUUUAGUCCUGACUUAGUUCGGGUUGAAUUUCCUGUGAACGGAUUGGUCAGCCUGUGAUAGCGGUGCUUAAGGGCAGAAGGAGCAUAAGUCCCCUGUCGAUCCGCUUGUGGUGGUCCCUGUUCAAGAAAUUAUCUGAAUUGAUUAAGAAGAAAUUUGUGAUUAUUUUCUGUGACAAUGAGUAAUAUUAUUAGGGAAUUAAGUAGAACCAGUUCUUCCAGAUCUCUUAGGUCUCAUGAUAGUUCUGCAUCUACAUUAAAUAAUUCUGCAUCUGAUUUAGAAAGAUCUUCAUAUAAGAUAAUCAGCUUAUCUGCAUCAUAUGUUGCAUCAUUAUCUGCAUCAUUUUAUAGUCAUCACAUAAAAUUUAAUAUUUCAAAAUUAGAUGAAGAAAUGAGUCAAAUAGAAAAUCAACUAAAAAAUAUGUCAAACUUUGUUCCGGAAAUUCCUCUUUUUAAAGAAGAGUCCGAGUCAAUUAAUUUUUCUCAAUAUAAAUCUCCUUUAAACAUAAAUAUCAUUAGAAAAAAAAAUAUUAAAAGAAAUCCUUUUGUUCCUGAAGUAGAAUUGAUCAAAACAAAUUACUUUUCUCCUGAAAAUACUGCAAAAAGAAAUUAUUUUCAACAACUUCUUCCUCAAGUUAGAAAUGCUUUAAGAAAAGAAUAUGAAAAAUAUAUGCAACAAGUUAGGAUGACUAUUCCUUUUUUCCUUUGGUUUUUCAAAUAUAGGAAACCCCUUAAAAGAAUUGCAACAUUAACUUCAAGAAAAUCAAUAGAAAAUUCUCCACAUAAUAAAAAAUUGUUAUAACAACAAAACUCAAAUCCAGAAGAGUCAAGUAAAAAAUCAAAAGAAGAGUCAAGGAAAACAAAAUUUAAUCAAAUUUUGUUUUCUUCUGCCCCAGGAGAGGUGGAGGAAUCAAAGAUAGAAGAAAAAACAAUAAAAGAAAUUAAUGAAAUACAAAAAAUAGAAAAUAAAGAAAAAACAAAAACAAUAAAUGUAAUAUCUUCAAAAGUAGAUAAGCAAAUAUUUUUUGAUGUUGUAGAUAAAAUUCAAGAUGAAGAAACACAAAGAAACUAUUUAAAAAAUUUUAAAAAUUUAAUUCUCAAUGAAGAUUCAAAUAAAAUUCAAAUCAAACUUACACAAUACUCAAUGGAUGAAAUUUAUAAUAGAUUCAUAAAAAAUCAAAGGCCAAUAACCAUUAAAGACUUGGAAGAAGAAAUAAAAGAAAUAAAAAGUCAAAUAAAUCAAUUAAAAUUAAAUAAUGAACAAAUAAAAUUAGAAAACAAAAUAAUAAAACAAAAAAAUGAGCAAAUAAAACAAGAAAAUGAACAAAUUAGAAAUGUAAUACAAUAUAAACAAGAUUUUGCUGAAACCUCUGAUAAUCAAGACCCAGGAAUAAUAAUACCUAAUAAACAAACUCCUAUAGAAUCAUUUAUAAAUACAAUAACAAAAAUAGAUUUUUAAAGAUGGUAUACAAAUAUAAAACUCAUAGUAGAAGAUUUUGAAAUGGAAAUAGUAGCAUUAAUAGACUCAAGAGCUUAUAUGAAUUGUAUUCAAGAAGGAUUAAUUCCUGUUAAAUAUUAUGAACAAACCGGACAAGAACUUUUUGCUGCAAAUAAAGGAAAAUUAGAAAUAGAAUUUAAACUUCAAAAUGUUCAUAUAUGUCAAAAUAAUUAUUGUUUUAGAACUCAAUUUAUAUUAGUACAAAAUAUGACUGAAACUAUAAUCUUAGGAACUCCUUUUAUUACAUUACUUUACCUUUUUCAAGUAAAUGAUGAAGGUGUCAAAACUACAAUAUUAGGAAACACUAUAUUUUUCCCUUUUAUAUAUCCAUUAACUAAAAAAGAAAUACAUCAAGUCCAAAGUGAUUCAAUAAAUAAAAUAAUAAAUUUAAUUCAAAAAAAACAAGCUCAUAUAAAUUAUUUAUCAAAAGAAAUUCAAUAUAAAAAGAUAGAAGAACAACUUGUACUAGAAAAGGUUCAAAAUAAAAUAAAAUAAACUCAAGAUCUUUUUCAAAAGGAAAUUUGUUCUGAUCUUCCAAAUGCUUUUUGGUCCAGAAAGAAACAUGAGAUAAGUCUGUCUUACAUUCAAAGCUUUGAUGAAUCUAAAAUUCCAACUAAGGGUAGACCUAUUCAAAUGAAUGAAAACUUUUAGAAUAUUGUAAACAAGAAAUUAAUUCAUUAUUAAAGAAGAAAUUAAUCAGAUCUCAAAAUCUCCUUGGAGUUGCUCGGCUUUUUAUGUACAAAAUGCUGUUGAGAUAGAAAGAUGAGCACCAAGAUUAGUCAUUAAUUAUAAACUUUUAAAUAAAGUAUUACAAUGGAUAAGAUACCCUAUUCCUCAUAAGCAAGAUUUACUCAAAAGACUACAUAGUUCUGUAAUUUAUUCAAAAUUUGAUAUGAAAUCUGAAUUUUGGCAAGUUCAAAUUAAAGAAGAAGAUAGGUACAAAACUGCUUUCACUGUCCCUUUUGGUUAUUAUGAAUGGAAUGUCAUGUCUUUUGGUCUCAAAAAUGCCCCUUCUGAAUUUCAAAAUAUUAUAAAUGAUAUUUUCAAUCCUCAUUUUCAAUUUAUAAUUGUAUACAUUGAUGAUGUUUUAGUAUUUUCUGAUUCAUUAGAAAAACAUUUUAUUCAUUUAAAGAAUUUGCUGACAAAUUUCCUAAUGAAAUAAAAGAUAAAAAACAAUUGCAAAGAUUUUUAGGUUGUUUAAAUUAUGUUUCUGAUUACUUCAAAGAUUUGAGAAUCAUUUGUGAACCCUUAUAUAAAAGACUUAGAAAAAAUGCACCUGCAUGAACUGAGCAUCAUACUAGUUUGGUCAAAGAAAUUAAACAAAGAGUCAAACGUUUACCAUGUAUCAGCAUCCCUCAUCCAAAUGCAUUGCUCAUUGUAGAAUCAGAUGCAUCCAAUUUAGGUUAUGGAGGCAUAUUAAAGCAAGAAUAUAACAAUCAAGUGCAUAUAGUUAGAUAUCGUUCAGGGAUCUGGUUGGGCGCUCAAAUAAAUUAUUCAACUGUAAAAAAAGAAGUUUUAUCCAUAGUUUUAUGUAUUUCAAAAUUUCAAAGUGAUUUGAUAAAUAAAAAAUUCCUUUUGAAAAUUGAUUGCAAAGCUGCAAAAGAUAUUUUACAAAAAGAUGUUAAAAAUUUAGUUUCAAAACAAAUUUUUGCAAGAUGGCAAGCUUUACUUUCAAAUUUUGAUUUUGAAAUCGAAUUUGUCAAAGGAGAGUUGAAUUCCCUUCCUGACUUCCUUACUCGGGAGUUUUUGCAGGGUAAGGAUCCUUCUCCAUCCUAAUGGGCACUCCCGUUAGGCCUCAACUUCCUUCAUCAUCCAAGAAAACCAAAGCUUCAUAUGCCAUGAUUUCAAACUUUUCAAAAAUUCGUCCUACUUUUCCUUUGCAAACAUCAAAUUCCUUUCAAGUUUUGAGUCCAUAUUUUCCUCCUCCUCAACUUUAAUAUCAUAUUGUGCAUAAGAAAAAAAUAUGGGCUGGCAUUUUAAAAUGGACCUGAUUGAAUAAAAAAAGAAAGGGUGGCAAUAUAGGGAGGGCCUUGGAAUUGGGCCCAUCUUGAAUUUAAAAAAAAAAACGGUCAUUGGACCGAGACUGUUCGGUUCUGCAUUGUGCGGAAGAAAAAAUUAUGGGCUGGCAUUUUAAAAUGGGCCUGGUUGAAUAAAAGAAGAAAGGGUGGCAAUAUAAGCUGGCCAUUGGAAUUGGGCCAUUUUGAAUAUAAAAAAAAAAGGGUCAGUUUGGUUUACUCGGUUUACCGGUUCGACCGGUUCUUGACUGGUUUCCAAAGGAGAAAAUCCAGACCGGAAAGAUUAUCGGAUGACAGUUGGACCAAAAUUAAAAUUUAAAACUAUUAUAUAUAUAUAUAUAUAUAUAUGAGAAAAAAAUUGAGAGAAAAAAUAGAAGAUAAAAAAAAUAUAUAAGAAAAUAGAAAAUAGGUUUAAAAUUAAUAAAUUAUUUUUAAGUUUAUUUAUUUUUAUAUAAAGAUUAAAUAAUUUUAAAAUAUGUAAAUUUUUUAUUAAUUUUAAACACAAUAAAAUUAUUUUUUAAUAUUUUUUUAUUUUCUUAAUAUUUUUCAAGAAUAAAAAAUAACUUAUAAGAAACCGGUGAAACGUUAUUUAGUAUUUAUUUCUUUUAGAAAUUCAAACAUGAAGUUGGUUUUGAAUGGUCAUCCUUGAAUUGGUCAAAGCCACGGACCACGUGCCUUGCUUUCUUUUUCAAGCUCUAACAAUAACAAAAAGUCAAAAAUCAAUCAGUUCCAAUUGUAACAUUCUUGGUUACUUCCAAGUUUCAAUUCUAGUGGGAUUACUUUGAAAGUUGAAAUUCUCUUACAAAUUACGACUCCGUCCCGUGAAUACAUCAUGUUUUGGAAUGUUUUAAAAAAAAAAAUUUAACAAUUUUUGUAAAACAAAACAAUUCUCAAUUAGUUUUUAAAAUAAAACUUUAUUUUAAAAUUUAAAUAUAAAAGAUAGUUUUUUAUUUAUUCUUCGAAAAUAUACUAUCUAAUUAUAUAUAAUGUCAAAUAUUUUAAAAGAUUUUUCAUAUUGUUGAUUAUCAUUUAAAACAUUAUAAAAUAUAAUUAAAAAAAAACUUAGGUUAUGGUUGGUUUCGGAAAAUAUAAUGAAAAAAAAAUAGAAAAGAAAUGGGUAAGUAUGUCCUUUUAAAAUAAUAUUUUUAAAGGUGUGUUUAAAAGAUCAAUUUACUUUAAAAGAAAAAUAAUUCCAAUUUUGAUUAAGAUCAUUGAAUUAGAGCUAUUGAAGGACAUAUAUCAUUACAAUCUACAUUUGAUAAGAUUUGGAAGAGUGUUUUAUAAAUAACUAAUUUUCAUAAUAUUUAAAAUUUGUUUGAUGGUGAUUUAAAAAAAAAGUGUUUUUAACGUAAUUUCAUAUUUGAAAUUUUUUAUUUUUUAAAUAUUAAAAAUACUUUAAAAUUAUUAUCAAACAUAUUUUUAAUUUCAUUGAAUUCAAAGUUGACUUGACGUUUUAAUGGAUCAAAUUUAAUUAAAAAUUAUUGAAUUUUAAAAUUAAAAAGAAAAGACAAUUUUAAUUCUUACACCAAAAUGAUUUUAAAAUCAUUUCUAAUUAAUCAAAAAGAAAAAUCAUUUAUAUUUAUCUCACUUGCUUAAUCCUGUCAAAAUGAUUUUUUUAUAAGCUCCCAUAUGUAUUUAUAAAUUUUAUAUAUUUAAAAAUAUAAAAUCAUAAAAUACGUUUGUAAAUAUAAAUAUUAUAUAGUUAAAAAAUUAAAUAACCAAUAAAGCAAAAAUUUUAUAUAUUUUGUAAAUAUAUAAAAAAAAAACUUAGGUUAUGGUUGGUUUUGGAAAAUAUAAUGAAAAAAAAAAACACUAGAAAAGAAAUGGGUAAGUAUGUCUUUUCAAAAGAAUACUUCCAAAGUAUGGUUUAAAAGGUCAAUUUGCUUUAAAAGAAAAUUGAUCCUAACUUUGAAUAAGGCCAUUGGAUUAGAGUGAUGGAAGGAAAUAUAUCACUUCAAUUCACAUCUCUGAUAUCACAAGUUUGUUUGGUGGUGAUUUUUAAAAAGUGUUUUUUUUUUUUUUUAAUACUAAGAAUUUUUUAUUUUUAAAAUAUUAAAAAAAAUUAUAAAUAUUUUCUAAAAUUACUAUCAAACACAUUUUUUAUUUCAUUAAACUCAAAAUUGACUUAACGUGUUAGUGGAUCAAAUUUAAUUGAAGUAUUUGAUUUUAAAAUUAAAAAGAAAAGACAAUUUUAAUGCUUACACCAAAAUGAUUUUAAAAUCAUUUCUAAUUAAUCAAAAAGAAAAAUCAUUUAUAUUUAACUCACUUGCUUAAUCAUGUCAAAAUAAUUUUUUUUAUAAGCUCCCAUAUGUAUUUAUAAAUUUUAUAUAUUUAAAAAUAUAAAAUCAUAAAAUAAGUUUGUAAAUAUAAUAUUAUAUAGUUAAAAAAAUUAAAUAACCAAUAAAGUAAAAUUGUAUAUAUUUUGUUAAAAAAUUAAAAGUUAAUAUAUUUUUUAUUUUUUAUUUUUAAAAUAAAUUUUUUUAUAUAAAAUAUAAUAACUCUUACCAAAAAAACUUCACCUUGUGUUCUUAAAACCAUUUUUUUAUUUUUUUUUUACUUCCUUAAGCUUUAAUUUUUUUUUUGUAUAAUAAUUUCCAUCUUUUAUACAAGAUUUUCUAUUUUUAAAAAUAAAGGAGAUGUAUUUAAAUAUGUAUUAAAAUAAUAAAAAAUUUAAAAGUAAUUAAAAAUUAUUUUAAAAUAAAAUAUUUAUAAAUUUUAAAAAAAUUAAACAAGUUAUUAACAAAUUUAAUGGGCUAUAACUCAAGUGAUGGUCUCCAAAAAGCCCGCGGCCCGCUUUAGGCCCGGCCCGGCCCGUAGGCCCCUUAGGCCCGCCCCUUUAAAAAAAAACUACAAAAAUAAAAAGUAUUAAAAAAAAUAUUCAUUUCAAAAUUUUAUUCAUUGAAUGUAUAAUUACAUUUAAAAAUGUGGGAAAAAUUUACAUCACUACAAAAUAAAUACAUCCCAACUAGGUUGGCACCUAUUUAUUUGUCAAUCAUCUGUAUUUUUCAACCACAAAAAAUAAAAAUAAAAAUAUAAUAUACAUUUAGUCAUUAUUUUCUGGCGGUGAUGGCGAACUAUCAUGCAUCCAUGAAGAUCUUGAUAAUUUUAAAGAUUCCAUAUCGGCAAGCAUCUUUGUUUCUCGAAUGGAAUCGUACAUCCUUUUAUCUGCUAUUUCUCAAUCUUUCACACAUAUCCCUACUUCAAUAACAUCUGGCGCUAAGUUGCAUUGUUUUUUACUAACUACUCUUCCACCUGCACUAAAAGCAGCUUCUGAUGCAACUGUACUCACAGGAACUGUUAGUACAUCACGAGCAAUUAUAGAAAGCACAUGAUAUUUGUGUUGAUGUGAUUUCCACCAUAUUAAAAUAUCAAAAUCUUCUUGAUCUUCAAAUGAAAUUAUAUGAGUAUUAAGAUAUUUAUCUAAAUCAGAUGUAUUAUUUGGAGAACUAUUUGUUGUCUUUUUUCGACUUUUCAACAUUUCUAUAGCUCCUUUAUAAAAAGAUGAGGAGUUUGUAGAUGUAGGUGGUAAUUUAAUACUAUUAAUAUUCUUACCAUAUUUUUCUUUAUAAUAGUUAUAUAAAUUAUGUAAUAAUGAAUUUAUUUCAUUUUUAAUUUCUUCAAUUUUUAUUUGGUCAUUAAAAUAAAUAAUUGUUAACCAUUCAUCCAAAGCUUCAAAUUUCAAUCUAGGCUCCACAAUUAAAGCAAUAUAAAAAAUUAAAGGUAUUUCCCCCCAAUAUUUUCUAAAUUUUUCUAUCAUUGCAAAUAUUGUAUCAUUAAAUAUUUCAAAACUUAAAUAUUUUUGAAGUACAAUAAAAAUAUUAGUUAUUUGCAUAAUAACUCGAUUUGAAGUUGGAUAAUAUACACCACAAAAAAUGUUUGUUGAAGUAUCAAAAAUUUCAAAAAGAUCUCUUAAAGAUCUGCAAUAUGCCAAUCAUAAUCACUUAAUGCAUAAAUAUCUGCUUCACAAUCAUUGUUAAGUAAUUGUAUUUCAUAUAAUUCGACUACUUUUCUAUAUUUUGUAAUAUUUUGUAAAAGUUUAUAUGUGGAAUUCCAUCUAAUGGCCAUAUCCAAAUUUAUAUUUUUUCUUUUCAUAUUUAACAUUUUGCAACAAUAAAAAAAUAAUUCAUGUUUUGCUUGAGAACUAUUAAUACUAUAUGCAAUGCCUCUAAUUUUUUCCAAUGUAUUAUCAACAUUUUUUAAUCCAUCCUUUACAAUUAAAUUUAAAAUAUGUGCACAACAACGCACAUGAAAUAUUUUAGCAUGAUCUUCUUUUACUUGCUAAUAUCGUUUUAGUCUAUGUAUUGCUGUAUCAUUAUUAGCAGCAUUAUCUAAUGUUAUUGUCAAUAUUUUAUCACGAAUGCCUAAAUCUAUAAUUUCAUCAUUUAUUAAAGAUGCUAUAUUUUUACCACUAUGUGGAGCAUUUAUUAAUUUAAAUGAAAUUAUUCUUUUAUUUAAUUUCCAUUCAUUAUCAAUGUAGUGAGCAGUUAUACAUAAAAAACCAGUGUGAGUUAAAGAUGUCCAAAUAUCAGAUGUUAAACAAAUAUUUCCUUCAAAAUUUGCAAAAAAAAAUUUUAAAAUUUCUUUUUGUGUAUAAAUUUUUUUCAUAAUAUCUCUUUUAACUGUAUUUCCAGACCAACCUUUAAAUUGAGGAUUAAUACCUCGUUGAAUUGUUCCUACAAAAUCAUGAGUUUCCAUCAUGUUGAAAGGUUGUUCUGCUCUUAUUAAAAAAUAAUAUACUUUAUUUAUAUAUAUAUAUAAUUAACUCAAUUGUUAAGCACAAAAGGAAUGUAGCUCAAUUGGUUAGAGUCUUGAUAUGAAAGCAUGAGGGGAGAGGUUCAAAUCCUCCCCUCUCCCUUUCUUUCUUUAAAAGCCAUUUUGGCUUAUUUAAAAAAGCCCACGGCCCGUCGGCCCGCCAACCCGCGGGCUUAUAGGCCGGGUCGUGGGCCUAACAUUUUUCCAUGGCCCGGCCCGAGCUGGGCCGCGGGCCUCCUAUUUACGGCCCGGCCCGGCCCGUUGGAGACCCUUAAACUCAAGUCGGCAUAUUAUUUAUGCCAAUUAUAUUCGAUUCAACUCGAGUUGACUAGGUACUUAAUUAUAAAAGACAAAAAUAGUCAAUAUAAAAGACAAAAAUAAAAAAAUAAAAACAAAAUUAGUUGGUCCAUACAAGUGUACUUAAUUAUUUAAAUUUAUUCUCAUUCUCACAAAAAAAAAAUGGAAAAAAAAGAAGACACUAGUAGACAAAAUUGGGAUAGGUGAGAGAAUUUCUCAUUCCCACCCAUCUUAUUUAAUUUUUAUUUUUUAAAAUUUAAAUUAUAUUAGAACUCAAUAUAAUUUAUUCCCAUCUUAAUUAAUUUUUUAUUUUUAAAAUUUUAAAUUAUAUUAGAAAUCAAUAUAAUUUAUAAAUUUAUGCAUUAAAAAUGAACGAAACUAAAAAUAAUUAAAUUAAAUUAUUUUUAAAUUAUAUUUAUAAUCGAUGAGGUGAUGUCCACUCUCAAAUUUUUUUUUUUUUUUAAAAUAAAUUUGUUUCUAACUCUUCCUAAAUUCUUCUUAUUGCCAUGGAACAUGCAAACAUUCAAAUAUAGUGUUCUUUUACAUCUUAACAAAACUAUUAUAUAAUAAAAGAGUGAUAAAAUAAAAUAAAAAUUUUCCAUGAUGAUAAUAAUAAUAAUAAUAAUAANNNNNNNNNNNNNNNNNNNNNNNNNNNNNNNNNNNNNNNNNNNNNNNNNNNNNNNNNNNNNNNNNNNNNNNNNNNNNNNNNNNNNNNNNNNNNNNNNNNNAAGGUUAUGAUUGUUCCAAACAAUGAUGAAUUUUAGUAAUUUGAUUUUACAAAUAUAUCAAAAAAAAUCGAUGAGUAUUUUAAUAUAAGAUAUUGAUGGAUAAAAAAUUAAUCAAAACUCAUAAAAUUAUAAAUAAAUAAAAAAAGUAAAAAACUCUUAAAAAUGAAAUUAAAAAUAUAAUAAAUAUUUUUAAGUUAUUUUAUUAAAAAAAUUAAUACAUAAAUAAUAUAAUUUAUAAUAUUCAAUAAUAAUACUUAUAACUUAAAAACAUAUUUUAUAUACAUCAAUUUAAUUUAGAUAUAUUCAAUGACAUAAAAAAAAUGAUAAUAUAUGUAUAAGUAUUUUUUUAUUAAAAUGUUAAUAAUUUUAUUUAUUAAUUUAUAUUUAUUUUGUAUGUAGUUAUUAUAUAUAUAUAUAUAUAUAUAUAUAUAUAUAUAUAUAUAUAUAUAUAUAUAUAUACAUAUAUAAGUAUUAAAAAAUUAUUUUUUGAAUAUUAUAAAUAAUAAUUUUAACGUUAUAUAACAAACAUAUGUGAAUAAAAUAACAUAAGUUGAUUGGGUGGCAAGGCUUCCCCUUUCAAAUGUGAAGUCUGGGUUUCAACUUUCAAAGCGUUCCACCACGAUCUAAAUCAUGAUGGCCCACGAAAGGUACAGCGUGAAGAGUGGGGACAAAAAAGUCAAAACUAAUAUGGAAGCUUCUGAGCUGGGGCCCGCAAACCAGUUUUCAUCGUGGGUCCCAAACUCCAACUUAGUCUUCAAUAAUUUCCACAUGGAUGUUAAAAUUUUCGGGAUACCGAUAUUGACACUUCAUCCCUUUCCAAAAAAAUCUUUGAAGGGGGGUUAGGUCCGUUCAUAUGAGAAAUCCCUAUCCCUCUUCCAUCUUGCCUUAUCUCGUUUAAUAUUUUUUUUUAUUUAUAAUUUUAAUUAUAUUAUAAAUUUUUGUUAUUAUUAUUAUUUUUAUAAAAUGUAAUUUUCUUUUAUGUAUUUAUAAGGAGGGGAAAUAAGCGUUGAUUUGCUUGAAUUUGUAGGAGGUUUUAAAUUUUUUAAUCCUAUUUAUAUAUUAUUUAUGUCUCUCUAGCUAAUCUUAAAAAGGGGUGUAGUAAAAAACCCGAUAAAGGAUAUUUUUAUCAAGGUAGAUGUUGAAUGGUUUAAAUAUUGGGUAUGACUAAAUUGAAGUUAACAAACAAAUAACAUAAAUACAAGGGCUAAAUCAUAAAAAUAUACAUAGUGAGCCCACAAAAAAAGAAAAAAAUUAUGGAUUGAUAGUAAUAUCAUAAUAAUAAGACAUAAAUAAAUGGAUAAAUGAAUAAUAUUAUAAUAAUUAAUACAUUAAAAAAUGUGAUUUUUAUAAGAAACACUUGCAUUGAUAGUAUCUAAAUUUAACUAUUUGAUUUAUAAAUGAUUAUUUAUUUUUAAAAAUAAAUAAUUAUUUUUUAAAAUUUUGUAGUAUCAUUUAGCUAUUGUCAUUUCACAAUAGUUUUUUUUUUAAAAUAAUAGCUUCUCUGAAUGUCCUCAUUAAACAAACAUAUUUCAAAUCAAAUCAAACUUAACGCAUAUUUGUUAAUUUAAAAAAAUAAAAAAUCUAUGGAAUCAAUACUUGAAAGUCACAAUAUCCAAAUUAAUAUACUUAAUACUAAAAAAUCAUAAAUCAAAAUUUAUUGGAAACUGGAAAUACUUUCCUAAUUUCCCAUUUUUAAUAUAAUUUUAAUUUUUUUAUUUUUCUAUUAAGUAAGUAAACUCUAAAUCAAGUGAGGUUAGUGUAUUGGAUUCAUAAAAAAAUAAUUUUUAAAAAUAAUUAUAAACUUAAAUAUUAACCCAAUAGAUAAAAAAAAUCAAGAACAAAAAGAUUGUAUAUAUUUUUCUCAAUUUUCUCAUUAAAGUACGUCCAUUUUCUAAACUAAUUAAAAAAACUCUAUACUUUAAUAUUUUCUAAAAUAAAAUCAUCUUUAAAAAAGAGUUUAAAAACCAUUUUUUAAAAUUAUAAUGUCAAUCAUAUUUUAUAUAUGACCAUUCUUUAACAUUCAAAAACCAAAUCCCAAACUAUUUUUAUUAAUAAUGUAAACACCUGGGUUAUGUUUAGUUCCUCAAAAGUUUAAGGAAACUCAAGAAAGUUUGGAGGACAACACAUGGAAAAAAAUAGAAAGGAAUAUAGAUGGAAAGAAAAAAAAAAAAGAAUAGAUUUAAAGUCAAUAAAUUAUUUUUAUAUAUUAUUUUAUAUUAAUUUUUUAUAUAAAAAUUAAAUAAUUUUAAGAAAUAUGUAAUUUUCUUAUACAUUUUACUUUUCUUCACAUUUUUCAUAAUAAAAUCAAAUAUAAAAAAAUUAUUUUUCUUUUUUUCGUUUUUUCCUAAUACUUUCCAUGAAGUAACAUGACCCUAAGAGUUGAUUUGUUCUCAAGACUUUUUUUUUUCUUUUAUCCUAAUACUUUCCGCAAAGUAACAUGACCCUAACAGUUGAUUUGUUCUUAAGUCUUGACAACUAAUUUUCUUUAGAAAGCGAGAGGGGUUUUUUACUAUUCCACAAAGAAAAACAAAAAAAUCAACUACAUUUAUGAUUUUAAUGACCAUCCUUUGUGUUUACUUCCAUGGAAAGAAAAUAAAAAAUGGAUUUAUAGAAAGUGAAGGAAUACGUGAGGUGAAUGAUAUCAUCAAUCAUAAGCAAUAAUACUUAUGUAUUAUAAAAUUUAUAUUCAAACAUAAAUUUCAUAAAAAAAUCUAUUAAUUGUAAGUUAAGAAAUAAAGAAAGAAGAAACCAUCGAUGAAUGAGGUGACCAAUUCCGUGUAAAGCAUAUUUAACUUUUAAUAGUUAUGUAUUAUAAAAUUCAUAUCUAAAUAUUAAAUUUUAUCAAAAAUCGAUUAAUUGUAAGUGAAGAAAUAAGGAAAGAAAUCAUUGAUAAAGUAUAUGUAACCAAUACUACUUGUAAAGUUUAUAUUCACAUAUAAAUUUCAUUUUCACCACUCACGUGAUUUUUAAUAAUUAAUUGAUUAAAAUUGAUAUGCUAUACAAAUAGUGAAGUAGAAAUUGUUAAAAAAAAAAAUUAAUAAUUUUGUGGAAGGGUUAAAAGUGGGUUAAUUUUUUUUUUUUUUUUUUCAUUUUUUAAUAGUUCGAUGUAAUUUCUAACAACGAUCGUGGAAACUCCAAUGCCAUUUCGUUUGAGAGUAUCUUUCAUUGGUCCAAUGGACCGGAGGAACAAGUUGAAUAUAUCAUCGUAUAAAUAAAAGACAAACAUUUGGGGGAUUAACACAAGUAUCCAACCCAUUCCCACCAAUUCACAGUAGCUCCACGUUUCAUAAUCUGUCUCAAAUUCUUGAACUUCUUUAAAGAGCGUUGAAGGGUGUGAUGAGAUUUUUGGCUUUGUUUAGUCUUCUCUUUUCAGUACUGAUGUUUCCAGCAGCAGAGGCUAGAAUCAGAAGGUAUAGAUGGGAGGUGAAGUAUGAGUACAAGUCUCCUGAUUGCUUUCAGAAGAUGGUUAUCACCAUCAAUGGAGAAAGCCCCGGUCCAACAAUCCUGGCCGAAGAAGGAGACACCGUCAGUGUUGAGCUCACAAAUAGUUUGUUGACAGAAAAUGUUGCAAUCCACUGGCAUGGUAUCAGACAGGUAGAGCAAAGAUUAAUAUAUAAUGUUUUCUUUUUUCUUCCCCUUUCUGGGCUUAAUUUUGCAGUUCUGAUGGUUCAUCUUCUUGAUAAUUACAGAUUGGGACGCCGUGGUUUGAUGGAACGGAAGGGGUGACCCAGUGUCCAAUCCUGCCAGGAGAUACCUUCACAUAUGAGUAUAAAGUGGAUAGGGUAAGAUUGAUCAGUGGUCUUAAUCAAGAAAGUUGGAACCAGUACUACUUUCAAUUAUCUGAUGAUAUUAUUCUUUGGUUUAUGCAGCCUGGGACUUAUCUAUACCAUGCCCAUUACGGAAUGCAAAGAGAAGCUGGGCUGUAUGGAUCGAUUUGUGUGUCGGUUGCUCGUGGGAAGACUGAGCCCUUUUCCUAUGACCACGACCGGAGCAUCAUCCUCACUGACUGGUACCAUAAUACCACUUAUGAACAAGCCCUAGGCUUGUCCUCCAUUCCUUUUGACUGGGUCGGGGAGCCUCAGGUGAAUGCCAACUACUACUGCUUCCGCCAUAGCAUACUGGUUUGUUCUGCUCUUCAUCUUCUGACGCCUUUUUCUGUCUGUUAAUUUUUCAGUCCCUUCUCAUUCAAGGAAAAGGAAGAUACAACUGCUCCCUAGUUUCAAGUCCUUACGUCUGUAAUUCAACAAGUCCUCAGUGUUCUCCCUAUGUACUCACUGUAGUUCCGGGGAAAACAUAUCGCCUUCGGGUCUCCAGCUUGACUUCCCUGUCAGCUCUCAGUUUCCAAAUAGAGGUUGGUAUAAUUAAAAACUUCACCGUGGUUUCUUAUUCGUUGCUUCUACUUGGUCAAGUCACAUUCCACACAAAAAAGUCAGAACACUACAUAUUUAAGAACUCAUCUUUAGCUAUAUAAUUGUGUUUUAAAUAAGUAAAGUUUCUGUUAUGAAUAGUAUUAGAGUUAAUUCUUAACUUCAUUGUAUGAGUUUGAUUGGUCCCAUAAGUGAUGUUUAUAUGUUUGAUCCUAUGAUCUCAUGAAAUAUAAUGAGGAUGAUGUAUUUGUACAAUAAUAAUUGUAAUAUUCUAUAUCAGAUAUUGAAAAAGUUUUUAAUAUUAUAUAUAUAUAUAUAUAUAUAUAUAUAUAUGAACUUCUCUUAACCCCGUGGACUUUAAACAUGUGAGGGGGUUUUGGGUCCAAAAUGAAGAAUAUCUACACAUUUCAAAAUGGUUUAUCACAAAAACUGUGCAUGUUCUAAUACAGUUUUAAUUUAUAACACUGUAGGGUCACAACAUGACUGUAGUUGAAGCAGAUGGGCACUUUGUGGAACCCUUUGUGAUAAAAAACCUCUUCAUUUACUCAGGGGAGACCUAUUCAGUUCUGGUGAAGGCUGAUCAAGACCCUUCAAGAAAUUACUGGGUCACAACCAGUGUGGUCAGUAGAAACAACACUGUCACUCCUCUGGGCUUGGCCAUUUUAAAUUACUACCCCAACCAUCCCAAGAAGUCUCCUCCAACAGUCCCACCCGCUGGCCCUCUUUGGAACGACGUAGAGCCACGCAUCAACCAAAGUCGUGCCAUUAAAGCCCACCAUGACUAUGUUGUCCCCCCUCCUCUCACCUCAGACAGAGUAAUUCUGAUGCUCAAUACACAGAAUGAGAUCAAUGGUUACAGGAGGUGGUCUGUGAACAAUGUGUCCUUCAACCUCCCACACACACCCUACCUAAUUGCUCUAAAGGAGAAUAUAACUGGUGCCUUCGACCCAACCCCACCUCCAAAUGGUUAUGAUUUUGUAAACUAUGAUAUCCACAAUGUGUCGAAUAACACCAACGCUACAUCCAGCAACUCAAUUUAUAGGCUGCAGUUCAAUACAACAGUGGAUAUUAUACUGCAAAACGCAAACACCAUGAAGAAGAAUGACAGCGAGACGCACCCAUGGCAUCUCCACGGGCAUAAUUUUUGGGUACUGGGCUAUGGAAAAGGUAAGUUCGACAAUUUCAGUGAUCCAAUAAAGUACAAUCUGAUCGACCCAAUUAUGAAGAACACAGCACCUGUUCAUCCUUAUGGAUGGACUGCCUUAAGGUUUCGAUCUGAUAACCCAGGUACCUGGGCAUUCCAUUGCCAUAUAGAGUCUCAUUUCUAUUUGGGUAUGGGAGUUGUUUUUGAAGAAGGGGUGGAGAGGGUGGGAAAGCUGCCUUCAUCUAUCAUGGGUUGCGGUAAAGCCAAGGGUCUCGGCGGCAGGCCAUAAUAUGCAGGUAAGUUGAGCAUGAAAAAAGAAAAUAAGAUUAUCAAAUCUUUACAAACCUCUCUAGUUCAAAGCCCCAAACAUCUUGUAAUAACAAUAAUAAUUACUAUUACCUGUUUUUUAUACAUAGUAUCAAUGCUAUUUUUUAUUUUGAGGUGAAAUGCAUAGAAAAAAGAAAUAGUAUUAUGCAUAGAAAAAAGAAAAAAAAAAUCAUGGUUGGAAAUAGGGGUCUCCAACGGGCGGGCCGGGCCUAUGGGCCCGUUGACUGGUCAACGGGCCGGGCCGGGCCGGGCCAUGCUAAAAUGCUAGGCCCACGGCCCGGCUUAUGAGCCCGCGGGCUAGCGGGCUUUUUGAAAUAAGCCAAAAUGGCUUUCACAAAAGCCAAGAGAAGGGAGAGGAGGGGAUUGGAACCCCUCCCCUCAUAUUUAAACUUCAAGGUUCUAACAUGCUGAACUACAUUCUUUUUAUGUUUAUUAAUUGAGUUAGUUAUAUAUAUAUAUAAAUAAAGUAUAUUAUUUUUGUAGUUUUUUUUUAAAGGGGCGGGCCUAAGGACGGGCCUACGGGCCGGGCCGGCCCUCCGGGCCUAAAUUUAGGCCCGCGGCCCGGCCCGCCCAUAAACGGGGUCGGGCCGGGCCUAAAGCAGGCCGCGGGCCGCAGGCUUUUUGGAGACCCUUAGUUGGAAAGGUUAAGUAACAAAAGCCAUUGAAAUGACUACUAUCUAUUUAUUUAAGUUAAAUUAUAAGAAAAAAGAUUUUAAACCUUCAAGUCAAGUAAUAAAAUUUCUCUUCAGCUUCAUAUUGGAUGAAGGUUCAAACCAAAAACGCUCCGAUGAUCAAACCUAUCACUCAGAUUAGGUACAUAAAAAAAACUUCAAAACAUUAGAGAAAAUACAACAAUAAUAAAUUAACAUAAGUUUAUGUGGUAUGAUAUUAAAAAAACAACAUCCCCAAUAAAGUGGGAUAUCUCCAACAACCUUUUCAAAACUUUAGGCUGACGGAUAAGGACAGACAUUCAAUAAUUGAAAUAAAAAUGUGCAGAGGCAAGAAUUUAAGAUGUAUACCAAGAAGUUUAGGCUCACUAUGUAUAACAUGUUAGAAUUUCAUGAUUCCAUGAUGCAAUUAGGAAACUAGUAGUAUAAUCUAAGGUGGCAAAUUGCCAGUCCAUAAUGACAAAAUUGAAUCCUAGUUAGAUACCAAACUCAUCCCAUACAACAAAAAUGAGUCAUUCAGACUAAAGAUUAAACUGAAAUAUGAACAUCAUCUCCAUCAAAUCAUAUAUAUCCAAAUCUCUCAUCUCAAAACCAUCAAUUAUUAGUUAUUACCAGAGAAACAGAUUUGACAAUGUAUAAAACAUGUAGAUAAAUCAAGCCCAAAAAGGAAGGGUGCCAAUUCUGAAGAAAGAAUACCUCAUAUUCGAGUACAAGAUGAAUCAAAAUCAUCAGGAGCAACUCGAGCAAUCCAAUUGCUCAGCGUCCUCUUAAUAUCAGAAUGAUUAACAUAGGCCAACUCAUACAUGCUACACAAAUUAACCACAAGAGUCUCAUUCAGAGCUAUUGUAGGAACCCUUUCGAGGGCAUUCUCCAACACCUUGAUCGAAUCCGAUAAGUCCCUCAAAUACAUCAAGCACAGAGCUUUGUUAUUGAUAGCCACAACAUCCGAACCAUCCCUCUCAAUGCACUCCUCGUACUCCCUCACUGCAGACACAUAAUCUUUUCCCACUAAGUAAACCAGCGCCUUAUUCCGAUUCACAAGGUUCUUGAACUCAAUUUCGCUCAAUGAACCUAAUCUCUCUUCCUUACCCAUCUUCUCUACCAGUUCGAACGACGCCUUCGCCCCCUCCAAAUCCCCAAUCUGCAGCUGAAUGCAGCCGAGCUUCGACACCAGCGCCGGAUCAUCGCGGCAUCUGCCGCUCAGUAACUGCCUGAUCAAACUCACACACACACCAAAUUCCUUGUGACUCAAAUGGUGCCCGAUUAUCGAAUUCACCACAAAAACCUCCCUCCUCUUCCACACAUCCGCAGAAACCCCCAGCCCCCUCGACCCUUUCUCAUCCACCCUCGUCCGCGCAAAAUCGAGCAGCGUAUACAACCGAUCUAGGGUUUCCUGGCGCUUCCCCAAUUUCAACGGAAUCUCGGCAUGGAUCCACCGGAGAGCGAACGGAAUCAUGGAACCAGACCGGCCGGGGUACACAUCAGGGUGCGAUUCGUACUGGUAGAUGGAGUGAUCGAGAUCCUCCAGCGAUGCCAGCUCCUCCGAAACGUCGCCGUAUCGACGGAGCUUGAUGAGAGCCAGGACGUUGUAGGAGAAAUAGCAUAGGUGUUCGUGGGGCUUUUGGAGGAGAGAGAGCUUGCGGGCGCGAGAGACCUUGUCGAGAAUGGAACGCCAUGAGCCUCGAGUGGCGAGCUCUUGGAGAGACGAGAGCUCGUAGCAGAGGUCGUUGAGGGAGCCGAACGGGCUCGACAGUGGGUCGCUGGCGACAAAGCCAUCAGCGGCCGGAGUUGAAUCCUCCGACGGGGAAUCGGUGGCCAUGUUUCGUGAAUUGAAGAAUGGCUCGACUCAGCUUCACUGCUGUGGGAAUAGCU
rnacentral:lncRNA from 1 species